GGGUCCAUGGCCAAGCGGUAAGGCACGAGGUUGCAGCCCUCGGAUCCUGGGUUCGAUUCCCAGUGGGCCCU
rnacentral:tRNA from 1 species